GGAUCUAAGCUAUAUACACUGACAGUUAACUUUUUUUUAAUAUUAUUAGGUUGUAGCUUAACUUGUGAUUGAAAAUUUAUUCUAUAAUUACCUUUUGUAAUAUUUUUGUACCGUCGUUAGUGCACAUAACUUAAACUUUUUGAAAAAUGAUGUCAUUCCCUAAUUUUUUGUUGUGGUGGUUAUUUGAGAGCAAUAAUCAAUUUUCGCUCGAAUCAUUUAUAUGUCAGUAUUUUUGCUGUCAGGUUUUAAUGUGCUAAACGACAUAUUAUAUUGGUGAUAGUGGCAGAAAUAUUUGAAGGGAUGAUUGAAAUGUUAGGUUAAUGGAGAAAUCAUCACAUAACAACAACAACAACAACAACUACCCAGUAUAUUCCCACCAGGUGGGAGUAUGGGGAGGGUAAUAUGUAGACAAGCCUUACCCC
rnacentral:lncRNA from 1 species